GAUAGUGAACCAGUACCGUGAGGGAAAGGCGAAAAGAACCCCGGCGAGGGGAGUGAAAAAGAACCUGAAACCGUGUACGUACAAGCAGUGGGAGCACGCUUCGGCGUGUGACUGCGUACCUUUUGUAUAAUGGGUCAGCGACUUAUAUUCUGUAGCAAGGUUAACCGAAUAGGGGAGCCGAAGGGAAACCGAGUCUUAACUGGGCGUUAAGUUGCAGGGUAUAGACCCGAAACCCGGUGAUCUAGCCAUGGGCAGGUUGAAGGUUGGGUAACACUAACUGGAGGACCGAACCGACUAAUGUUGAAAAAUUAGCGGAUGACUUGUGGCUGGGGGUGAAAGGCCAAUCAAACCGGGAGAUAGCUGGUUCUCCCCGAAAGCUAUUUAGGUAGCGCCUCGUGAAUUCAUCUCCGGGGGUAGAGCACUGUUUCGGCAAGGGGGUCAUCCCGACUUACCAACCCGAUGCAAACUGCGAAUACCGGAGAAUGUUAUCACGGGAGACACACGGCGGGUGCUAACGUCCGUCGUGAAGAGGGAAACAACCCAGACCGCCAGCUAAGGUCCCAAAGUCAUGGUUAAGUGGGAAACGAUGU
rnacentral:rRNA from 1 species